GGGGACCUGUGAGAUCCAGCUUGUGGCCUGGGGAAUACACUUCACAGAAAGGGGGACAGACAAACAAGCCGGCACCAUGAGUACCGACGCUGAGAUGGCCAUUUAUGGCAAAGCUGCCAUUUACCUCCGUAAACCAGAGAAGGAGAGAAUUGAGGCUCAAAGCAAACCUUUUGAUGCCAAGUCUGCCUGCUAUGUGGCCGAUGCUAAGGAGCUGUAC